AUGGCCUGGACCCCACUCCUCCUCCUCACCCUCCUCCUUCACUGCACAGGGUCCCUCUCACAGCUUGCACUGACUCAGCCGCCCUCUGCAUCUGCCUCCCCGGGAGCCUCGGUCAAGCUCUCCUGCACCUUGGAUAGUGGGCACAGCAGCUAUGCCGUUGCAUGGCACCAGCAGCAGCCAGGGAAGGCCCCUCGGUACUUGAUGUGGCUUUACAGUGAUGGAAGCUCCAACAAGGGGACUGGGAUCCCUGACCGCUUCUCGGGCUCCAGCUCUGGGGCUGACCGCUACUUAACCAUCUCCAACGUCCAGGCUGAGGAUGAGGCUGAUUAUUACUGUGGAAGUGGUGACAGCAGUGGUGUGGAGAGGCGCGCGCGGGUGCACGCUCCCAGGCCAGAGCGCGGAGAGAGGCGCUGCGUCGCCUGCGCGGAAAACAUGGGCUACGAUAGUUCCAAGUGUCUGGCAUCCAGCGGAGAAGCAAAAAGGGAAACGCCCGGCACCCGGCAUGGCGCGCCCUACGAAGGCAGUGCUGCCCUCCAUGCCCGCGAGCUCCGGGAUCCCUAG